rnacentral:rRNA from 1 species
UAGGGAAUCUUCCACAAUGGGCGCAAGCCUGAUGGAGCAACGCCGCGUGUGUGAUGAAGGGUUUCGGCUCGUAAAGCACUGUUGUAAGAGAAGAAUGUACUUGAGAGUAACUGUUCAAGUAGUGACGGUAUCUUACCAGAAAGGGACGGCUAAAUACGUG